rnacentral:rRNA from 1 species
AUAGAACGCUGGCGGCAGGCCUAACACAUGCAAGUCGAGCGGAUGACGGGAGCUUGCUCCUUGAUUCAGCGGCGGACGGGUGAGUAAUGCCUAGGAAUCUGCCUGGUAGUGGGGGACAACGUUUCGAAAGGAACGCUAAUACCGCAUACGUCCUACGGGAGAAAGCAGGGGACCUUCGGGCCUUGCGCUAUCAGAUGAGCCUAGGUCGGAUUAGCUAGUUGGUGGGGUAAUGGCUCACCAAGGCGACGAUCCGUAACUGGUCUGAGAGGAUGAUCAGUCACACUGGAACUGAGACACGGUCCAGACUCCUACGGGAGGCAGCAGUGGGGAAUAUUGGACAAUGGGCGAAAGCCUGAUCCAGCCAUGCCGCGUGUGUGAAGAAGGUCUUCGGAUUGUAAAGCACUUUAAGUUGGGAGGAAGGGCAGUAAGUUAAUACCUUGCUGUUUUGACGUUACCGACAGAAUAAGCACUGGCUAACUCUGUGCCAGCAGCCGCAGUAA